CGCCUGGGGAGUACGGGUGAGGUAACGGCUCACCAAGGCAUCGACGGGUAGCUGGUCUGAGAGGAUGAUCAGCCACACUGGGACUGAGACACGGCCCAGACUCCUACGGGAGGCAGCAGUAGGGAAUAUUGCACAAUGGGCGAAAGCCUGAUGCAGCAACGCCGCGUGCGGGAAGAAGGCCCUAGGGUUGUAAACCGCUUUCAGCAGGGACGAAAAUGACGGUACCUGCAGAAGAAGCUCCGGCCAACUACGUGCCAGCAGCCGCGGUAAUACGUAGGGAGCGAGCGUUGUCCGGAAUUAUUGGGCGUAAAGAGCUCGUAGGCGGUUCAGUAAGUCGGGUGUGAAAACUCAAGGCUCAACCUUGAGACGCCACUCGAUACUGCUGUGACUUGAGUCCGGUAGAGGAGUGUGGAAUUCCCGGUGUAGCGGUGAAAUGCGCAGAUAUCAGGAGGAACACCAGCGGCGAAGGCGGCACUCUGGGCCGGUACUGACGCUGAGGAGCGAAAGCAUGGGGAGCAAACAGGAUUAGAUACCCUGGUAGUCCAUGCCGUAAACGUUGGGCACUAGGUAUGGGAUCAUAUCAACGGAUUCCGUGCCGUAGCUAACGCAUUAAGUGCCCCGCCUGGGGAGUACGG
rnacentral:rRNA from 1 species